ensembl:snoRNA LOC120098373 small nucleolar RNA SNORA48
AACCCCAGGAAUAGGCAAAAAGACACCUUAUUGGUAGUCUUGUUCUUAUAUCAGUCUGGGGCAGAGCAGAUGGCAGUCCUUUGUUCAUCCUAGCUUGAUGCCUGGAUUGGUGUUUUAUAUCUAGGACUCAUAA